rnacentral:tRNA from 1 species
GCAGUGGUGGCCGAGUGGUUAAGGCGAUGAACUAGAAAUCCAUUGGGGUCUCCCCGCACAGGUUCGAAUCCUGUCGACUGCG